GUGCCCACUGUGGCAGCACAUGUAUCAAAAUUGGAAUCAUACAGAGAUUAACAUGGCCCUUGCAAAAAUAUAUGUAAAUUUGCAAAGCAGUCCAUAUUUUU
rnacentral:snRNA from 1 species